rnacentral:rRNA from 1 species
AUUGAACGCUGGCGGCAGGCCUAACACAUGCAAGUCGAGCGAGCGGCGGACGAGUGAGUAAUGUAUGCGGACUGCCCGAUAGAGGGGGAUAACUACUGGAAACGGUGGCUAAUACCGCAUACUAUCGGAUAACCCAUAUGGGAUUAGCUAGUAGGUGGGGUAAAGGCUCACCUAGGCGGCGAUCUCUAGCUGGUCUGAGAGGCUGAUCAGCCACACUAGGAGUGUGACACGGUACAGACUCCUAAGGAGGCAGCAGUGGGGAAUAUUGCACAAUGGGGGCAAGCCUGAUGCAGCCAUGCCGCGUGUGUGAAGAAGGCCUUAGGGUUGUAAAGUACUUUCAGCGGGGAGGCGUUACCCGCAGAAGAAGCACCGGCUAACUCCGUGCCAGCCGCCGCGGUAAUAC